rnacentral:rRNA from 1 species
GAUGAACGCUGGCGGCGUGCCUAACACAUGCAAGUCGAGCGGAUGGACGGUGCUUUUGCUUGGCUGAAGCGAGGGGCGGGCGAGUGAGUCACAGGAGUAUACCUGACAUAUAAGUCUGAGAUCACGACGCGAACGCGUAUACAACACAGGAGAAGAUUUUGAACCGCGGGGUUCUUAGGAGAACGCCGGCUUUGAUGUCACUAAUUGAGGGUUCCGCGCUGGUUUGGCUAGUUGGUAGGCUAACGGCUUUCCAAGGCUAGUAUGCGUAGCCGACCUGAGAGGGUGAUCGGCCACACUGGAACUGAGACACGGUCCAGACUCCUACGGGAGGCAGCAGUAGGGAAUAUUGGGCAAUGGGCGAAAGCCUGACGGAGCAACGCCGCGUGUGUGAUGAAGGUCUUCGGAUCGUAAAGCUCCUUUAGUGGGGAAGAACAGCUGUAUAAGUAAACGUUGCUGUUUUGACGGUACCUAAUCAAAAAGCCACGGCUAACUACGUG